rnacentral:rRNA from 1 species
UACGUAGGGUGCAAGCGUUUGUCCGGAAUUAUUGGGCGUAAAGAGCUCGUAGGCGGUCUGUCGCGUCGGAUGUGAAAAAUCCAGGGCUUAACCCUGGACCUGCAUCGAUACGGGCAGACUAGAGUUCGGUAGGGGAGACUGGAAUUCCUGGUGUAGCGGUGAAAUGCGCAGAUAUCAGGAGGAACACCGGUGGCGAAGGCGGGUCUCUGGGCCGAUACUGACGCUGAGGAGCGAAAGCAUGGGGAGCGAACAGG